GUGCUGAGUUUCAGAAAUUAAUCAGAUAUGAUUCCCACCUCUACUGAGGUGACAAUUCUACUGGAAGCAGGGGAGCUGGCCUAACAUAACAUAAGGAAAUAGAGACAGGAAAAGCAGGCACUGGAGGUUGCUUGGGUCUCCAGAUUAAAGCUGAAUUUAUAGUAGGGGCAUGGAACACCCCUGACCAGUAUCCUACACAAGUGGAGAUUCACCAAGCCUCCCAGGUGUGAGGGCAGCAAAAGCUUAUUUUAUUCACCUUCCCAGCAAGCUUAUAAGGUGGUGUCUCCUUAAUCCGAAGAGGAAUAUGAGCAGGAUCAUUCAGGAUGAAGGACAGAAGCAUCCUGCCAUCUUACCUGUCAAUUUUAAGCUACACCUGUAAGUUCCCAGGUCCCAGAUUA
rnacentral:lncRNA from 1 species